UACGAAGGGGGCUAGCGUUGUUCGGAAUUACUGGGCGUAAAGCGUGCGCAGGCGGCUUCUCAAGUCAGGGGUGAAAGCCCAGAGCUCAACUCUGGAAUUGCCUUUGAGACUGAGUGGCUUGAGUGCGAGAGAGGUGAGUGGAAUUCCCAGUGUAGAGGUGAAAUUCGUAGAUAUUGGGAAGAACACCGGUGGCGAAGGCGGCUCACCGGCUCGUAACUGACGCUCAUGCACGACAGCGUGGGGAUCAAACAGG
rnacentral:rRNA from 1 species